AAGUCGAACGAGAAAGUGGAGCAAUCCAUGAGUACAGUGGCGUACGGGUGAGUAACACGUGGAUCAUCUACCUCUUUGUGGGGAAUAACCGAGGGAAACCUUGGCUAAUACCGCAUAAGCCCGAGAGGGGAAAGCAGCAAUGCGCAGAGAGAGGAGUCCGCGGCCGAUUAGCUAGUUGGCAGGGUAAAAGCCUACCAAGGCAGAGAUCGGUAGCCGGCCUGAGAGGGCACACGGCCACACUGGCACUGAAACACGGGCCAGACUCCUACGGGAGGCAGCAGUGGGGAAUCUUGCACAAUGGGGGAAACCCUGAUGCAGCGACGCCGCGUGAGCGAUGAAGCCCUUCGGGGUGUAAAGCUCUUUCGGCAGGGAAGAUAGUGACGGUACCUGCAGAAGCAGCUGCGGCUAACUACGUGCCAGCAGCCGCGGUAAUACGUAGGCAGCAAGCGUUGUUCGGAGUUACUGGGCGUAAAGGGUGUGUAGGCGGUUGUUUAAGUUUGGUGUGAAAUCUCCCGGCUCAACUGGGAGGGUGCGCCGAAUACUGAAUGACUUCGAGUGCGGGAGAGGAGAGUGGAAUUCCUGGUGUAGCGGUGAAAUGCGUAGAUAUCAGGAGGAACACCGGUGGUGUAGACGGCUCUCUGGACCGUAACUGACGCUGAGACACGAAAGCGUGGGUAGCAAACAGGAUUAGAUACCCUGGUAGUCCACGCCCUAAACGAUGCACAUUUGGUGUGGGCAGUUCAUUCUGUCCGUGCCGGAGCUAACGCGUUAAAUGUGCCGCCUGGGGAGUACAGUCGCAAGGCUGAAACUCAAAGGAAUUGA
rnacentral:rRNA from 1 species